GCCAGGAAAUGAAUAAGAGGGUUGUCAUGAAGGCUAAAGUCAAAAGUAACUGAGGCUUGCCAAUGGCAGCAGACUUUAUGGUCUUCACCUCUUGCCCAGAACGAAGAAAGGCCCUGCUGGGGCAGGCAGUGCAGUAUUAACAGGUCGUGCAGAAAAGAAGCUUCUUAACUCUCUGAUUCUGAGGAACAAACCCAGUGUCCAUUUGGGCUGGACGCUGGCCAGAAAGCCUAAUGUUUUGGCCAAGUCAACAGCAGGAUCUCAAGUCUCCGGAGUCUUCCAGCCACCAGAACUUCAUCCUGUGCCAUCUGCUCUUCGUCC